GUACUACUCUCAGAGUUUGAUCCUGGCUCAGGAUGAACGCUAGCUACAGGCUUAACACAUGCAAGUCGAGGGGCAGCAUGAACUUAGCUUGCUAAGUUUGAUGGCGACCGGCGCACGGGUGCGUAACGCGUAUCCAACCUUCCCGUUACUCAGGUAUAGCCUUGCGAAAGUAAGAUUAAUCCCUGAUGAUAUAUGUUUACUGCAUGGUGAUCAUAUUAAAGAUUUAUCGGUAACGGAUGGGGAUGCGUUCCAUUAGGUAGUUGGUGAGGUAACGGCUCACCAAGCCAGCGAUGGAUAGGGGUUCUGAGAGGAAGGUCCCCCACACUGGAACUGAGACACGGUCCAG
rnacentral:rRNA from 1 species